GAGCGAGCCCAAUGCUAAUCCCACCACUUUCAAAGCCAAGCCUUCUCCAGGACAGCUCCUCCUUCCAUGUCCGAAAGGCAUCAACUUAAACUCGUAUCUUCCCCCCUCUGGGUUGUCGAACCUCUCAGGUCUGAAUUUUGUUGGGUCCCGCCAGAUUUUAGGGUCAUUUUGAAUGGCCCACAUAUUUACAGAGAGCAUCGUGCCGCGUGGAAUGCGGAAUCCUCCAACCAGGCAUUCUUCUGAUGACUCAUGAGGUACUAGCAACGGAGCUGGCGGGUACAUCCGUAACGUUUCGUUUAGGAUGCUUCGGAGGUAGGGAAGUUGGGCAAGAUCACCUUCAUCCAUCAAACGAUCAUGCCCAAUAUGCUCGUCGAUUUCUCUCUGAGCCUUCUCGAGGACUUCGGGAUGGUUAAGCAAAAGUGAAAGUGCCCAUUCCAUUGUAGUAGAUGAAGUGUCUGUUCCCGCCAAUAAGAGCACCUACACACCAAACCAAAUUGUGGUAAUUAAUUCCAUAGACGAUGCACACAUACAGUGGAGAUAUCUUAUUCUAGCUGGUGUAACUUGACACGGCAACAACUUCUACUAGUGGAGAUAUCCUACUGCUUGUAGAAACAAACAAAUUAAAAAAAUAAACACGAUGCAAAGAAAGUCACCAUAGUGACCUCUCGGAUCCUACACCUUGGUUGUGUCCUAUGACUUGAAUAUUCUAAUACACAAGUUUGCUAUUGCGCACUGUCAUUUUCUUGACAAAAGCAAGAUCCAAAGACAAAAUAAUGAACAUUAAUUUAACAAUCCUGAAUUAUGACCUAAACAUAAAAGCAUUAUGAUAUCACUACUCAAUUUAUCAUAAUUAUCAGUAAGCCAAACAACAUGAUUAAAGAUCUUACCAGCAUAAUCCCUUUGAUGAUAUCGUCCGUGUAAUACUCAGGUUCAGUUUCUUGCAGAGACAGCAGAACCUGAAUCAAAUUCGUUUUCUUUUCGCCACAACAAUCACUCUCCAAUAUUUUUCUCCGUUGCUCUUCUAUCAAGUACUGCAUGAAACUAUCCCUCUUUAUAUGGCAUUCUAUCAUUCUCUUCUCCAUCUUUUUUGAUUUAAUCCACGGUAUGUAGUCUCCAAUAAUGGUUUUCCCACCUAUCAAGAAGGUUUCAGCAUGAAUUGCUCGAAACUUUUUUGCUUCUUCCACAUCUGAAACACUCUCUCCAUAAUAUCUCUUUCCAGCUAUCAUCCGCAUCAUGAUGUUCAGUGUCAGUUCAAAGAAAACAGUUUUCAUAUCUACAGUAUGCUUCUGAUUACGAAAGAGAACACAAAUCAUUGACUUCACCUCCUCCAGACGUAUGGCAGAAAGCAUUUGGAGGCGGUAUGCAGACAAGACUUCAAUAGAGACGAUCCUCCUAAGGUUUCGCCAGUGGUCGCCAUAGGGUGCCCAAGCAAGACUUGUGUAGUUGUAGGCAAGGUGUUUUGCAAUGAGCAAACGUGGGCGGUUAGCAAAGACAACAUCAUUUUUGGUAAAGCAUUCCUCAGCUAUGGAAGGGGAUGAAACAACAAGUAGUCGACGAGAUCCGAGUUGGAGCAACAAUACAGGGCCAUGUUUACUAGAGAUUUUUGAUAGUGUCCUGUAAAUUGGCUUCUUGAGUAGGUAGAGAUGGCCAAUGAUUGGCAGUGAAGGAAAUGGACCAGGUGGGAAGUUUCUUAUCUUGUCUAUGAAGUGCCUUGUUAUGAUAUACAACGCUAAAAUCACAAGAAAGUAGAGAAUCAAGGUUGCCAUGGAUUUGUGAAUGGCCACUGUCCUUGUUUUUUAGGAAGGUGUCUGAAACUCUGAAUUAUAUUGCGCAAUGUUUCGAGACUAUCUAGAUACCCAUUACAUAGUACUUUUAGUCAUUCUAAUCCUAGAAAUUCUCGAAAGUCGUCCAUGCCUGUCUUAUCUCACCAAUUGAAAAAGGGUACUAUUGACGUGAUGAGGUCAGUGCAAACGCAUUAGUGGUAACCUAGACUAAAAAUGUUUUUUUUUUGUUUUAAAAUUAUUUUUUUUAUUUUUAAAUCAUUAUAUUAAUAUUAAAAAUUAUUUUUUAAAAUAAAAAAUACUUUAAAAGUUGGGCGUAAUUUCUGACAUGGAAAAUGUGAGGGCCGUGGACUCAUCUUACAACAUAAGUCCAACAAUGAAAGUUGCCAAGUAUGAAUUUCACUAAAUCCUUGUCGCGUGAUACGUAGUAUUUCAGAUAUUUUUUCAAAAUAAUAAUAAUCAUGAAUGUGAAAUCAUACUGUACAACAUAUUUUUAAAAUAUUAAAACAAUAAUAUAUUAAGUAAUUUAUUUUUUAAAAAGUGAAAUAUCUGAUUGAUCUGAAAUAACUCUAAUUAAUUUUUAAAAUUUAUUAUCACUAUAACAACUUUGUAGAAAAUAAAUUAAAAUUUUAUCCAAUUCCAUCUAAUAAAAUAUUUAAUAUUAAAAUUUUUUAAAAAAUCAAUUUAAAAAAUAAUCUAAAAUUUUUAAUAAAUCUAGAUAAACAUGUCAAAUCCAUGAGAUGAGUCAUAAGAAUAAAAUUAAGAACACUAAUUCUUAAACCCAUUGUGAACUAAUGAAAAUUCAAAAAUAAAAAUUAAAAAAAAAUUCAAGUUAAUUUAUUAAACUCACGAAUUAAAUCAAAUGAUUAAGAUAACUUUAUAAAAUAUAUUUUGAAUUUUUUUUAAGUUAAGCGAAUCCACGGCACAGUCUAAAAAAUAAUUUUAUUGGUGUAUAAUUUUUUUUUAAAAAAAUUCUUUGAUUCUAUUUAAAUGAAGUUUUUUUAAAAAAAAUAAAAAUAAAGCAAAGCCCUUUAAAAAGAAGUUCGGGAGUCUGGCCUGAUGGACACCAAUAACCAUAGCUGUGUAAACCAACCGUCCAGUCUAGCAUGUUGAUUCAGAAAACUGAAAUUUAGAAUCUGAUUCAGACAGGUUUUCUAGUUUAAUUAUACAAGACAAGACUGCACUUUUAUAGAGGAUUUUUCUAAGUUUUCGCCAGCAGUCCCCACGAGGAGGCCAAGCAAGGUUUGUAAAGCACUGUUCAGCUAUUGAAGGGGAUGAGUCGGAAAGAGCUCUACGGGAACCGAAGGUGAGCAAGAUUGCAGGGCCAUGUUGACAAGCAAAUUUGGACAAGAGUCCAGUAAAUUGACUUCUAAUGGAGGUAGAGAUGGCCGGUGACUGGUGGCGAAGGGAAUGGCCUAGGUGGGAGAGGGAGGUUUCGGAACGAGGACAAAAAACUGAGUGAAUAAAAUAGCAAGAUGCUAGAAAGAUAGCAGGCAGAAAGCGACAGCUAAAAAAGACAAAAAAUAUUACAGCAAGAACAUAAUAGCAUUUCCCAUUCUCAAGGGAGGUGAUAUCUCUUAAUAAUUGUGCUAAAUAAUGAAUCUGUCCACAAUGUUGUCGGUAAGCUCCUAAAUCUUUGAAUUUGAAGCACAAAAUAUUUUUGCUUUGUUUUGAUAUAAGAAUCUAAAUUGAUUUUUUUAUUCAUUAAUCAUUUGCUGAUCGUUUAUAUGACAGUGGGUGCAAUAAGAGCUGGUACGUAGGAAAAAAAAAAGAAAAAAGGUUGAUGAUCUUCGAGCUGAUUGGCUUGCAUAUAAAUCCUUGCAUUGCAUAUAGAUCUAACAAGUUUCUGUGAAUUAACUUUUAACAAAUUCUCGGCAAAAUUGUGUUGUUAGCCGGUACAGGAGUUUCAAAUGUUUAGUUUACUGGUUUGAGAUAUUGGGGAUGUUCGAGUGAAUGUUGAAAUUAUUUUUUAAAUUUUAUUUUUAAUAUCAAAAUAUUCUAAAAAUACUAAUUUAAAACAAAAAAUAUAUUUUUUAAUAAAAAAAACAGGUUAUCUCAGCAUGAUCAAGAUAGAUAUGAUAGAAUAAUUCAAAGUUAGAAAGUUCAAACACGUGGAAUGAUAGAGAAAAGGUCUCCUCGAGAAUUUUCUUUUCAUAGAGGCGUGUGGUUGGUUUCUAGGAUCAGGUUGCUAUGAAUUUAUGCACUAGAUUUGAAAAAAGUUAUUAUUCCCUCUCAAUUAUAUUUGUACUGUUGUUUCAUGAUUCUAAAUGACUCUGUACUUGAUUUUGCUUUUUUCACUGGUCAUCGAUCAUUGAUUUUCCUUAUUUCCAUAUAUAUUCCAGCUGCAAAUUUGGACGAUACUGCUUUGAUAAGGGAACGCAAACCAUGAAUCAUGUCUAGCAGAUUGUAUUUUUUUUUUUUACACAGCCACAUUUGACUUAACUUUUUUUUUUUUUCAUUUAGUUUGAAAAUUGAAUUUUAAAAUUUUAUUCAAUUUGAUUUCUAUGUUUUUAUCUUGGUCUUAUGAUUUGUUCGCAGAUUUGAGAGGCUCGUUAAAGUAUACUCAUGUAAUUUUAUUUUAUUUUAUUUUUAUUUUUCUUCAACAUUUUAUUUUUUAGAAAUUGAACUUUAUAUAUCUUUUUCCACGUUGAUUUUUAUAGGGUUAUUCUAUUUUUAUUUUUUUAAAACUGAAUAUUUAAAAUUUAAAAUUUUAUCAUUCAAUUCAAUAUUUUAUCAUUUUAAAAUUAAAUGUUAUUAUUUGUUUCAAUUCAUUUUUUGUAGGACUAUUGAUAAUUAAUUUAAAUGGACACAAUUCAAUUCAAUAAAUUGCUUUCUUUAUAUUUAAAAAAUAAUUCCCAACAUACCAUAGUCUCAUUGUUGAAAAAAUGUAUCAUCUAAUCUAAUAUGUGUCGAAUCUUGCAUUCUUGUUGGAUGUUUUUUCUACCUUAAGAAACACGUAUCAAUACUUCAAUUUAUUUUUGUUUGAAAAAAAUAAUAUUGCACGCAUAACAAAUGCGAGUGAAUGAAGUAGCCACACUGCAUUCUUUGAAAAUUUCCCCUCUUUUUUAUUUUUUAUAUGCUGUACAGUUAAAAAAAAUAAAAAAAGUUGUUUCCGCGGCAGCGUACGGUCAAGCCACCUAGUUAUAAAUUAAAUAAAACGAAAACAAAUCCACAAGAAGCUAUCACGAGCCACGAAUUUUGCCAGGGUUGAACUCUAGGUAGAAUGCGUUGAAUACAAGGGCCACCUAAGCUAAGAAACAAGACUUUAAGUUACCGAAAGAAGCUGGCAAGUACUUUUCAGACAUGGAAAAGGGACAGAUAAUAUGGUAAAAGAUUCAGUUUUUCAUUUAUUUGACCCUGGAGGUUUCUUCGUGUAAGUUUUUCAACUCUAUUUUUAUCACGUUUUAUUCAUGAGUUAUAAAAUAAAAUAAAAUAAAAAUCAUAAAAAAAUAAAAUUAAAAGUAAUACAGGACGUCCCUUAUAUAAUAACUAUGUAGACUUCCUGGAUUUAAUGUAACUAGUUAUGACUGGUUUGCCUCCCUCAUCUUGAAUGAAGCCCAAACGUGUAGAGUGAUAGAACUGUCCUGUGAAAGCAGAACCUUGGCGUGGACUUGCAAUCUCAAGCAAGGCCCAGACAAAAAGCGAAGAAGACAGAUGAGGGCCUCACUUCAAAACUAGGCUUAUAUUGUUUGGUCACAUUACAAAUUCUCCCAACACACCAAUUUCCUAAUGUCUUGCCAAGGCUGCAUCCUUGCACAAAUGUGCAGAUUGAUUGUCAUACAAACGGUAGCAUAUAAAUGGAGGUGGGAUAUAUGAUACGUAACUGUUAUUCUUUCGAUUAGAAGUGAAAUGGAAGGCAGCCAUUUUUUCUUUCACCAUCAAUUCUCCGUGGUGUAUUAUAGUUGUCUAUCAAGACUCACAUGGCAAUAAAUAGCAUUGGUUAUGCGGGUCGGAUAACCUACGGGUAGAGCCAUGUCAUGAUGCCAACCACUACCAGGAGUCAUGGAAAAAUACAUAGUUCAUAUUUAAGAAAGAUGCCUUAGCAUGUCUGGGCGUGGCCUACAUAUAACUUUCAGUGGUUUUGCCUUCGGAAUGGUGAACCCGGACGCCUCAGUCAUGUCCACCAUUUUAUCACCAAUUUUCUGCCACUCGAAACAUUGAAGGAGCGAGCCCAAUGCUAAUCCCAUCACUCUCAGGGCCAUGCUUUCUCCAGGACAGCUCCUCCUUCCAUACCCAAAAGGCAUCAACUUAAACCCAUCUCUAGCCACCUCUGGAUUGUCAAACCUCUCAGGUCUGAAUUUUGUUGGGUCCCGCCAGAUUUUAGGGUCAUUUUGAAUGGCCCACACAUUUACAGACAGCAUCGUGCCACGUGGAAUGCGGAAUCCUCCAACCAGGCAUUCUUCUGAUGACUCAUGAGGUACUAGCAACGGAGCUGCCGGGUACAUCCGUAACGUUUCGUUGAGGACGCUGCGGAGGUAGGGAAGUUGGGCAAGAUCAGCUUCAUCCAUCAAACGAUCAUGCCCAAUCUGCUCGUCGAUUUCUC
rnacentral:lncRNA from 1 species